CAGGACAGAUUUGAGCAUGUUGUCUUGUAUGAUUUUUAAUAAAUCAUGGUUUUAUGUUUUGACUCUGAAAAUUUUAUGGUAUAUACUGGACAUACAGGGGAGUGGUUUUGUAAAUUUUCAUGACAUUUUGAUAUUUGGUUUAGGUGUUAUCAGUUCCCCAGGUCUAAGCUCCUUAGAUUGUAGGCUUUCGGUUCCUCUGCUUUCAGGUAAUGGAUAAGUUAUAUAGGUAUUUGGUAAGUCAUGAGGUUAUUUUAAAGUAUAUUAUGCAUUAAAAGGUUUUUGAUUAGAGAUAUGACAUAUAAUCAUUAUUCUGACAAAGAUAUGUUUGUGAGCUUUCGAAACCUUAUGUAUAUUAUUUAAGCAUAUUAAUGCCAUUACUAAUUUCCACGAACAUGACGUUUAAAGAAAAGAAUGAAAAUGCUAUUAUUAUGAAAUGUUAUGCAAAAUAAGAAAUUUCAGUAUGAUGUAUAAGUAUGAAAGUGUUUUAUAACAUGUCUAAUGAGUGUAUAAAAAUCCUAAUAUGAAAAUACCAUCAUUUGAUAAUUGUUUGUGAAUUUACAAGAAAACGUUGCAAAGCUGUCACUAUGACAGAUUCUGUGUUCAUGCAUGGUAAAUUAUGUAUUAAAUUGUAUACAGUGAAUUUGGAUGCUAGGGAUAUUUCCUAUGAAAUCUAAGACACAUGUGGUUGUUAUGGAAGUGGUCUCACAACAUUUGAAUCAAUAUAAAAAUAAUGGUUUAAUUUCUAAGUUACAUGAAACUCUGUCAGGACAGAUUUGAGCAUGUUGUCUUGUAUGAUUUUUAAUAAAUCAUGGUUUUAUGUUUUGACUCCGAAAAUUUUAUGGUAUAUACUGGACAUACAGGGGAGUGGUUUUGUAAAUUUUCAUGACAUUUUGAUAUUUGGUUUAGGUGUUAUCAGUUCCCCAGGUCUAAGCUCCUUAGACUGUAGGCUUUCGGUUCCUCUGCUUUCAAGUAAUGGAUAAGUUAUAUAGGUAUUUGGUAAGUCAUAAGGUUAUUUUAAAGUAUAUUAUGCAUUAAAAGGUUUUUGAUUAGAGAUAUGACAUAUAAUCAUUAUUCUGACAAAGAUAUGUUUGUGAGCUUUCGAAACCUUAUGUAUAUUAUUUAAGCAUAUUAAUGCCAUUACUAAUUUCCACGAA